CACGUAGGGUGCGAGCGUUGUCCGGAAUUAUUGGGCGUAAAGAGCUCGUAGGCGGUGUGUCGCGUCGGCCGUGAAAACUUGGGGCUUAACUCUGAGCUUGCGGUCGAUACGGGCAUCACUGGAGUUCGGCAGGGGAGACUGGAAUUCCUGGUGUAGCGGUGAAAUGCGCAGAUAUCAGGAGGAACACCGGUGGCGAAGGCGGUGCUCUGGGCAUUACCUGACGCUGAGGAGCGAAAGUGUGGGGAGCGAACAGG
rnacentral:rRNA from 1 species